AUUGAACGCUGGCGGCAGGCCUAACACAUGCAAGUCGAGCGGAUGAUGGGAGCUUGCUCCUGGAUUCAGCGGCGGACGGGUGAGUAAUGCCUAGGAAUCUGCCUGGUAGUGGGGGAUAACGUCCGGAAACGGGCGCUAAUACCGCAUACGUCCUGAGGGAGAAAGUGGGGGAUCUUCGGACCUCACGCUAUCAGAUGAGCCUAGGUCGGAUUAGCUAGUUGGUGGGGUAAAGGCCUACCAAGGCGACGAUCCGUAACUGGUCUGAGAGGAUGAUCAGUCACACUGGAACUGAGACAAGGUCCAGAAUCCUAAGGGAGGCAGCAGUGGGGAAUAUUGGACAAUGGGCGAAAGCCUGAUCCAGCCAUGCCGCGUGUGUGAAGAAGGUAUUCGGAUUGUAAAGCACUUUAAGUUGGGAGGAAGGGCAGUAAGUUAAUACCUUGCUGUUUUGACGUUACCAACAGAAUAAGCACCGGCUAACUUCGUG
rnacentral:rRNA from 1 species